AACCACGCCCUUAAAUCAAGAUGGCUGACUUGAUGAAGAUACUUUAUUUUUAUGGAAUUCUAAUAAUCAUGAAGUCUCUAAACUUCAAACUGGUCUGAAGGAAGGUCUAUCUCUGACUCUUUGGGCUAAUGACACAGCAGCUUACUAGCCAUUGGAACUAUCAAAGGAAACCUAGUAUUGACAUAAUCACAGAAUAAGAAGAAAAGAACCAAUUCUUGGUAAGCACAGUAAAAGGAUAACUUCAAGAGCAUGGAGUGAUCAGAAUGUAUUAGCAUUGACUGGGGAAGACAGAAAGGUAACCUUUUCAGACCAGGAUGGUAACAGUAUUGGACAGAGGGAAAUUAAAUUUGAAGUUCAUUCAUUAAAGUUUUCACCAGAUGGAGCAAUGCUAAGUGCUGUUGGAGAUGUCCAGAUUUUAUAUUUUUUUGAACUUAAUGAAGCAGUCAUCCCUUUAGAAUUAAUUUUUGAGGUACA
rnacentral:lncRNA from 1 species